AUUGAACGCUGGCGGCAUGCUUUACACAUGCAAGUCGAACGGUAGAGGGGCAACCCUUGAGAGUGGCGAACGGGUGAGUAAUGCAUCGGAACGUGCCCAGUAGUGGGGGAUAGCCCGGCGAAAGCCGGGUUAAUACCGCAUGAGACCUGAGGGUGAAAGCGGGGGAUCGCAAGACCUCGCGCUAUUGGAGCGGCCGAUGUCAGAGUAUCUAGUUGGUGGGGUAAAGGCCUACGAAGGCGACGAUCUGUGGCUGGUCUGAGAGGCCGACCAGCCACGCUGGGACUGAGACACGGCCCAGACUCCUACGGGAGGCAGCAGUGGGGAAUUUUGGACAAUGGGCGCAAGCCUGAUCCAGCCAUGCCGCGUGCGGGAAGAAGGCCUUCGGGUUGUAAACCGCUUUUGUCAGGGAAGAAAUCUUCUGGGCUAAUACCCUGGGAGGAUGACGGUACCUGAAGAAUAAUCACCGGCUAACUACGUGCCAGCAGCCGCGGUAACAC
rnacentral:rRNA from 1 species